UGCCCCUGUGAUAGGUCAUUCUAGAGGUGACUCCAUAGUCCAUCUGGGCAGGUAAGAGUCCGGGGGUUAAGCUCAAACUGGUUUGGGUGGUCUGGGCCUUCAGUAUAGUCUCUAUUGCUGAAGGUGUGGCUUUGCUUUCCAUUUGCCUGCGUUAAGGGAUGAGCUGGAAAGAAGAGCUUCGGGAAAAAUGUGGGACAGAGAUCGGACCAAAAAGAACCCUAAGGGAUUUAGUCAAGGAAACAGUUUGCUUCUCCUAUGAGUCAAAGGACAUCAGUGACCUGUAGAAGCUGGGAACAGCCCUCAGCUGAUAGCCAGGAAGAAAAUGACAACCACAAGAAACUGAAUUCUGGCCCAAGAAUGUGAAUGAUGAGCAAAGAAAGGGAUUCUCCUUUAGGGCUUCCAAAGGAACACAGCGUGCCACCACUUAUAUUUUAGCCCUAUGAGAUCUAUGGCUGAUUUCUAAUAGACACAAGUAUAAGGUAAUACAUGUGUGUUGUUUUAAGCCA